GUUGCCCAGAUACUAUUGCAGAUUGCACAUUAUUACUGUCCAUAUGACGGGAAUAGAAUUUGGCACCGGACUAUUACACUACACAGCGCUGGCAGCUUAAUAAGGUACUUCCCAUGCUCUUGAUCCCUUCUGGUUUCAAAGAAGUUCAUAAUACUUCAACCAAAAGAAAAAAUCUUGCCAAGUUCACUGUACAGCAUCUCCGAAAGAAGAGCCUACAUCAACAAUCUUGAGUCACCAGGCUACUUAUUGGCUGUAGCCAUGGUUGGUUGGCUACACUAGAAGAACAUCGAAGGACCAUCCGCUCAUGUUAACCCUUUUCAAAAAUCAGUUGCUCCCAUUCUCCUCCCUUCGUUGAAAACCAGAUAUUAUCUCGAGAAGGUUGUCUUGUCUGCAGAUCCUGCUUUGGACCUGAAUAGUUGUGUUGUUGAAGCCAAGUUCUAUAAGAGCGAGUGGUUGGCUUCCAUGAAAUUAAGUGAAGAGCAGGAUCAGGAACAACAACGUACGUUUACUGAAUUAGUUGAUAUCUGCAUUCUGUAGUCUGAGAGGAAAAUCAGAUUUACUUCCAACCACUCUGCAAAAGAUUUGCUUGAGAGGAUUGAAGAAAUUGUAGCAGAGAUGGGAUGUGGUGUCCAGAAGAAAAGUGGAAGGUUAAAGGUGAUGCAAGAGAACAAGGGGCAGAGAAAUCUGGGUAGUCUCUCAGUUGCAGCAGAGAUUUCAGGCACCGACAUCAACUUUUGGGUAUGUGCAAUUGUGUUAAAAACUAUCAAAUGAUCUAGGUGUUCCAUCUAGCCAAGAAUUGUUGGCCAGCGAGGUAUUGAAGUCCAGGAGAGAUGUACAUUGUAUUACAAUUUGUGUAAAUUCAUGUGUUCAGAUUUUUAAGUGUUAUAUACCAUGUAAGA